ACCAGUUGUAACUUUCGAAAAAUCAAUUUUUUUUUUGUGCAUUUUCUUAAAGUACACAUAUUUAGAAAUGUGUCUGUAAAUUUCAAAGUUGAUCCGGUGAAAAAUAAAUGAGAUAUACAGAACACUGCAUCGGCGCGUCCCGUGGCUUCAUACAAGGUGGCCAGCCAUAACUGACCCUAACGACAGAUGGCCUUUUCCUAUGAUUUAGAAACGGCAACCACUGCGGAAGAGUUAUUAUAUGGUCCAAGAAUCGAUGACUCUUUGUAACUUGGAAACAAAAUUUCUUCUGAACAAAAAAAAACGAAGUAUACUUGCAGAAUGCUGGUCACCGCAAUUCGCCUUUUUUCUUAAGACGCCACUUCAAUGGCUCAUAUCUCCAAAAGUUUUUGUUAAAAAAAUUUUUUUUUUCUUUUAAAUUACAGCUUUUUACAUGUACUUUUAACUAAUAAAUAGUAUUCUUUAAAAA